GACGUAGGGGGCGAGCGUUGUCCGGAUUUAUUGGGCGUAAAGCGCGCGUAGGCGGUCGCGCAAGUCGGAUGUGAAAACCCGGGGCUCAACCCCGGGCGUGCAGUCGAUACUGCGCGGCUCGAGACAGGUAGGGGAGAUCGGAAUUCCUGGUGUAGCGGUGAAAUGCGCAGAUAUCAGGAGGAACACCGGUGGCGAAGGCGGAUCUCUGGGCCUGUUCUGACGCUGAGGCGCGAAAGCUAGGGGAGCGAACAGG
rnacentral:rRNA from 1 species